AGCAGCCGCGGUAAUUCCAGCUCCAAUAGCGUAUAUUAAAGUUGUUGCAGUUAAAAGCUCGUAGUUGAAUUUCGGGGUUAGUAGGUUGGUCAUGCCUCUGGUAUGUACUGGUCUCACUGAUUCCUCCUUCCUGAUGAACCUUAAUGCCAUUAAUUUGGUGUUUUGGGGAAUUUGGACUGUUACUUUGAAAAAUUAGAGUGUUUAAAGCAAGCUAACGCUUGAAUACAUUAGCAUGGAAUAAUGAAAUAGGACGUUCGAUCCUAUUUUGUUGGUUUCUAGGAUUGACGUAAUGAUUAAUAGGGAUAGUUGGGGGCAUUAGUAUUCAAUUGUCAGAGGUGAAAUUCUUGGAUUUAUUGAAGACUAACUACUGCGAAAGCAUUUGCCAAGGAUGUUUUCAUUAAUCAAGAACGAAAGUUAGGGAUCGAAGACGAUCAGAUACCGUCGUAGUCUUAACCAUAAACUAUGCCGACUAGGGAUCGGAUGAUGUUAAUUUUUAAUGACUCAUUCGGCGCCUUACGGG
rnacentral:misc_RNA from 1 species